rnacentral:rRNA from 1 species
UACGAAGGGGGCUAGCGUUGUUCGGAAUUACUGGGCGUAAAGCGCACGUAGGCGGAUUUUUAAGUCAGGUGUGAAAUCCCGGGGCUCAACCUCGGAACUGCAUUUGAAACUGGAAGUCUUGAGACCAGGAGAGGUUAGCGGAAUACCGAGUGUAGAGGUGAAAUUCGUAGAUAUUCGGUGGAACACCAGUGGCGAAGGCGGCUAACUGGACUGGUACUGACGCUGAGGUGCGAAAGUGUGGGGAGCAAACGGG